GUGACUGGUGUUGAUGAUGUAUGCAGAUUGGAGGGGGUCAACAAGGUGAUUGGUAGUGUUGAUGAUGUAUGCAGAUUGGAGGGGGUCAACAAGGUGACUGGUAGUGUUGAUGUAUGCAGAUUGGAGGGGGUCAACAAGGUGACUGGUGGUGUUGAUGUAUGCCUUGAUCUUUUCAAGAGAUUUAAUUGAGAGUUCAGAGCGACAGGUCUGUAAUCCUUUUAUGCAGACGGAUAGUUAGCAUCUGAACGGGUUAGGGCAGCUACCCCCUUCUCAAAUGAAAUCACAUUUUAUUUGUCACAUACACAUGGUUAGCAGAUGUUAAUGUGAGUGUAGCAAAAUGUUUGUGCUUCUAGUUCCGACCAUUGCAGUAAUAUCCAACAAGUAAUUUAACCUAAGAAUUUGUUAGAAAUAACACAACAAAAAACUGCACAGUUUCCUAGGAACGCGAAGCGAGGCGGCCAUCUCUGUCGGCGCCGGGAGUUCAUGUACUUAGUUUGAAUGUAGCUGGCACCCUGACAUGUACAUGUUUGUUUUGCGUUUACAAUCAAUUCUAUUAUUUUAUUAAUACACGGUAAGUACCUGUAAACAGUUAGUGAAAAUCAGUAAUGCUUUUAAUUUGAAACCCAAAAGGGGCGUGUUCUCAGGUAAAAGUCUCAACGGGAUCCUUGUGUCAUCCUAACUCUGAUGUCAACCCAUUGAAGUUGAACAUUUCAACGGCUAAAGGGACAUGGUUAGGGUUAAGGUAACCAUUAUUUCAACCCUCUCAAGGCAUAAACAUCCUUCUUUAACCGUCUCCUCCCCUUCAUCUACACUGAUUGAAGUGGAUUUAACAAGUGACAUCAAUAAGGGAUCAUAGCUUUCACCUGGAUUCACCUGGUCAGUCUAUGUCAUGGAAAGAGCAGGUGUUCUUAAUGUUUUAUAUACCCAGUGUAUAUAUUCACAUUGUUUCGGUAGAUUUUAAUUCACCCUUUAUUCAAAACGGGGAAAAAGAAAAUAAACAACUAUAUAAGAAUGAUAUGUUACCAAGGAUUCAAAUAACGUGUCAGUUCCAUCUUUAUUUUCCAUGUCCUCUCUCUGACUUUGGUCAUGAUACAUCUCUGUGUGGGAAGAAUGUCAGUGCUGUUUCCCAACAUAGUCACAUGUUUUAUUCUGUGGCACUGCCUCAAACAUCCACAGAUCCACUACAUAUGAUGGCAUACCUGCCCUCUGCAAUAUACGACAGCAUGAAAACAGAUUUAAAAUAA
rnacentral:lncRNA from 13 species